AUUGAACGCUGGCGGCAGGCUUAACACAUGCAAGUCGAGCGGAGAUGAGGUGCUUGCACCUUAUCUUAGCGGCGGACGGGUGAGUAAUGCUUAGGAAUCUGCCUAUUAGUGGGGGACAACAUUCCGAAAGGAAUGCUAAUACCGCAUACGUCCUACGGGAGAAAGCAGGGGAUCUUCGGACCUUGCGCUAAUAGAUGAGCCUAAGUCGGAUUAGCUAGUUGGUGGGGUAAAGGACUACCAAGGCGACGAUCUGUAGCGGGUCUGAGAGGAUGAUCCGCCACACUGGGACUGGGACACGGCCCAGACUCCUACGGGAGGCAGCAGUGGGGAAUAUUGGACAAUGGGCGGAAGCCUGAUCCAGCCAUGCCGCGUGUGUGAAGAAGGCCUUUUGGUUGUAAAGCACUUUAAGCGAGGAGGAGGCUACCUGGAUUAAUACUCUAGGAUAGUGGACGUUACUCGCAGAAUAAGCACCGGCUAACUCUGUGCCAGCCGCCGCGGUAAGAC
rnacentral:rRNA from 1 species